CUUAACAUUUCCUUCUAACACAGAUCUAAUCACUGAAAUUGUGCCACAUGUCUGAUGUUGUAAUUUACAUAUGAUAAACUCACCUGGAAAAAGAGGAUAAGCAAAACUAUUGUAGCCACUUAGAAUUCUGCUUUUGAAUUUUAUUAUCACAUUUGAUUCUUUGAAAUUCAUACAAGGACAUAUUUCUACAAAUAGUUAGCUUCACUGAGUCCUAAACUGAACCAUCUACUUAUGAAGCACUUAAGCCUUUUCUUCC
rnacentral:lncRNA from 1 species